GCUCCGUAGGUGAACCUGCGGAAGGAUCAUUAUCGUACAAAAUGUGAGGGGGAUGCGAGGGCUGUCGCUGACCCAAAAGUCGUGCACGCCCGAGUGUGUCCUCUUGCAUAAUAAUCCAUCUCACCCUUUGUGCAUCACCGCGUGGGCACCCUUCGGGAUCAUCUCGGAGGGGGGCUCGCGUUUUCUCACAAACCCCCCUUUUAAAAGUGUAGAAUGACCACAUUUAUGCAAUCAAUACAACUUUCAACAACGGAUCUCUUGGCUCUC
rnacentral:misc_RNA from 1 species